rnacentral:misc_RNA from 1 species
UUGAAAUAAACCUGAUGAGUUGCUGCUGGUUCUCUAGGGAGCAUGUGCACACUUGUCAUCUUUAUAUCUCCACCUGUGAACCUCUUGUAGACCUGGAUAUCUCUCUCUGAAUUUGCCUGGCAGAUUCGGGUUUAAGGAUUGAUCUGUUCUUUCCUUGUGUUUCAGGUCUAUGUUUUUCAUAUACCCCAAUGUAUGUUUAUAGAAUGUAAUAAACAGGCCUCCUGUGCCUAUAAACUUAUA